rnacentral:rRNA from 1 species
GAUGAACGCUGGCGGCGUGCCUAAUACAUGCAAGUCGAGCGAACAGACGAGGAGCUUGCUCCUCUGACGUUAGCGGCGGACGGGUGAGUAACACGUGGAUAACCUACCUAUAAUACUGGGAUAACUUCGGGAAACCGGAGCUAAUACCGGAUAAUAUAUUGAACCGCAUGGUUCAAUAGUUCAAGACGGUUUUGCUGUCACUUAUAGAUGGUUCCGCGCCGCAUUAGCUAGUUGGUAAGGUAACGGCUUACCAAGGCAACGAUGCGUAGCCGACCUGAGAGGGUGAUCGGCCACACUGGAACUGAGACACGGUCCAGACUCCUACGGGAGGCAGCAGUAGGGAAUCUUCCGCAAUGGGCGAAAGCUUGACGGAGCAACGCCGCGUGAGUGAUGAAGGUCUUCGGAUCGUAAAACUCUGUUAUUAGGGAAGAACAAAUGUGUAAGUAACUAUGCACGUCUUGACGGUACCUAAUCAGAAAGCCACGGCUAACUACGUG